UUGAGAGAGAGAGAGAGAGUGCUCUAGCUCGAAGCCGCUGCACGCCGCCGCUGAAUGCCUGAAUCCCUAAUUCCAUCCGACCUCCGACUGCUUCCGGUCCCACCACUCCGGCGCCGCUGCGCCCGCCUUUCCGGCAAGCUCCUCCAGCUCCAGCGACUGGCGCCGAUGCAUCAUCUCCCUGACUCCCUCCCCGCACCCUCCAGUGCACCGUCUGCUCCAGCGCGGCAGCGCCUGGCAAGCUCUUCCACGCCGGCGUCGAUGGAGCUGCUACAAGAGUCAAGAGCUACGGAGGCGAAAUGAGAGCACUGGGAAUGCGUGCGUGGACUUCGUUCGGAGAGGUGGUCGGUUGACGCUGCUCCUGCUCGAGCAAGGGAAAAUGAAACAAUGUUUUUAACAUGAAGAAAACAGAUUGGAGUCGAUUAAACAAGGAAGUGAAGAUUUUAAAUCCAAAUUGCUAAUCUCGUGGAAGAAGACCCAGAGUGAAGUCUAACAAAUUCAGUAUAGACAUAGGGAUGGACAUGGUGGAACCAAACAUACCACUUCAGAAGAAUGGACUCUGUAUAACAUAUAACGCAAUCAAUGGAAGCUUCUUUUGUUGGUGGUCGCCCAGAUCUCCAUGGAAUUGAUCAGCUGGUCUACAAGAAAGAACAUGUACUAUAUACUUUUACUCCGUUCCAUGACAACUGCUACCGAAUUGAAUAAGAGAAAUAUUUAUGUUCAGCCGAGUAAUCCGAUGCAGCGAGCGGAUGCAACAACACACGUCGAUGAUGUCGAGGAGGAAUUGUGUGGCCUUUUUUUAAGGGUUCCCUGACGUAAGUAGUUUGGGUUUCAUCUUCUUUUCUUAUUGUCCGUUUGUAUGGUAGCUAACUGAUCAUGCUAAACGGUGACCAAAGGGGUCCGCAUGAAGACAGCUUACUUGUACAUGAUCCCUUUUUCUGACAGAGGCUGAGCAGUGAGCACUUCAGUCUGAUUGCCUUUUUUUUUGCAAAAGAUUUCAGCCUGGUUGCCAUGGAGCUGUA